UGUGCCCUUGAGGCGUGGCUUCCGGAGCUAACGCGUUAAGUCGACCGCCUGGGGAGUACGGCCGCAAGGUUAAAACUCAAAUGAAUUGACGGGGGCCCGCACAAGCGGUGGAGCAUGUGGUUUAAUUCGAUGCAACGCGAAGAACCUUACCUACUCUUGACAUCCACAGAAUUUGGCAGAGAUGCUAAAGUGCCUUCGGGAACUGUGAGACAGGUGCUGCAUGGCUGUCGUCAGCUCGUGUUGUGAAAUGUUGGGUUAAGUCCCGCAACGAGCGCAACCCUUAUCCUUUGUUGCCAGCACGUAAUGGUGGGAACUCAAGGGAGACUGCCGGUGACAAACCGGAGGAAGGUGGGGAUGACGUCAAGUCAUCAUGGCCCUUACGAGUAGGGCUACACACGUGCUACAAUGGCAGAUACAAAGUGAAGCGAACUCGCGAGAGCCAGCGGACCACAUAAAGUCUGUCGUAGUCCGGAUUGGAGUCUGCAACUCGACUCCAUGAAGUCGGAAUCGCUAGUAAUCGUAGAUCAGAAUGCUACGGUGAAUACGUUCCCGGGCCUUGUACACACCGCCCGUCACACCAUGGGAGUGGGUUGCAAAAGAAGUAGGUAGCUUAACCUUCGGGAGGGCGCUUACCACUUUGUGAUUCAUGACUGGGGUGAA
rnacentral:rRNA from 1 species